rnacentral:rRNA from 1 species
UGGAAGCGCGAAUGCAGACAUGAGUAACGACAAACAGUGUGAGAGACACUGUCGCCGAAAGUCCAAGGGUUCCUGCGUAAAGCUAAUCUGCGCAGGGUUAGCCGGUCCCUAAGGCGAGGCCGAAAGGCGUAGUCGAUGGGAAGGAGGUCAAUAUUCCUCCGCCUGUGGGUAGUGACAGAUCCCGUGUAUCGUUGGUCCUUAUUGGAUUGGACCGGCGGUGAAGGGGUCUCAGGAAAUAGCUCCCACGUACAGACCGUACCCCAAACCGACACAGGUGGGCUGGUAGAGUAUACCAAGGCGCUUGAGAGAACGAUGCUGAAGGAACUCGGCAAAUUGCCUCCGUAACUUCGGAAGAAGGAGGCCCUUGACUUGGGCAACCAGGUCAAGGGGGCACAGACCAGGGGGUAGCGACUGUUUACCAAAAACACAGGGCUCUGCGAAGCCGUAAGGCGAAGUAUAGGGUCUGACGCCUGCCCGGUGCCGGAAGGUUAAGAGGAGAGGUGCAAGCUUUGAAUCGAAGCCCCGGUAAACGGCGGCCGUAACAAUAACGGUCCUAAGGUAGCGAAAUUCCUUGUCGGGUAAGUUCCGACCUGCACGAAGGGCGUAACGACUUCCCCGCUGUCUCCAGCAUCGACUCAGUGAAAUUGAAUUCCCCGUGAAGAUGCGGGGUUCCUGCGGUCAGACGGAAAGACCCCGUGCACCUUUACUAUAGCUUUGCACUGGCAUUCGUUGCGGUAUGUGUAGGAUAGGUGGUAGGCUUUGAAGCUGCGGCGCCAGCCGUGGUGGAGCCAACCUUGAAAUACCACCCUUACUGUUAUGGAUGUCUAACCGCGACCCGUUAUCCGGGCCCGGGACAGUGCAUGGUGGGUAGUUUGACUGGGGCGGUCGCCUCCCAAAGAGUAACGGAGGCGCGCGAUGGUGGGCUCAGAGCGGUCGGAAAUCGCUCGACGAGUGCAAUGGCAUAAGCCCGCCUGACUGCGAGACAUACAUGUCGAGCAGAGUCGAAAGACGGUCAUAGUGAUCCGGUGGUCCCACGUGGACGGGCCAUCGCUCAACGAAUAAAAGGUACGCCGGGGAUAACAGGCUGAUGAUGCCCAAGAGUCCAUAUCGACGGCAUCGUUUGGCACCUCGAUGUCGACUCAUCACAUCCUGGGGCUGGAGCAGGUCCCAAGGGUUCGGCUGUUCGCCGAUUAAAGUGGUACGUGAGUUGGGUUCAGAACGUCGUGAGACAGUUCGGUCCCUAUCUGCCGUGGGUGUUGGAGAAUUGAGAGGAUUUGCCCCUAGUACGAGAGGACCGGGGUGAACGUACCUCUGGUGGACCUGUUGUUGCGCCAGCAGCAUUGCAGGGUAGCUAUGUACGGAAGGGAUAACCGCUGAAAGCAUCUAAGCGGGAAACCCGCCUCAAAACUAAUUCUCCCUGAAGAGUCGUGGUAGACGACCACGUUGAUAGGCCGGGUGUGGAAGUGCGGCAACGCAUGAAGCUUACCGGUACUAAUCGCUCU